rnacentral:rRNA from 1 species
GAUCAGCUCUGUACUCCGACCAAUCUGNUUAAAGUUUGAUCAUGGCUCACGACGAAGCUNAGGCGGCGUGCCUAAUACAUGCAAGUCGAGCGAACAGAGAAGGAGCUUGCUCCUUUGACGUUAGCGGCGGACGGGUGAGUAACACGUGGGCAACCUACCUUAUAGUUUGGGAUAACUCCGGGAAACCGGGGCUAAUACCGAAUAAUCUAUUUUACUUCAUGGUGAAAUACUGAAAGACGGUUUCGGCUGUCGCUAUAAGAUGGGCCCGCGGCGCAUUAGCUAGUUGGUGAGGUAACGGCUCACCAAGGCGACGAUGCGUAGCCGACCUGAGAGGGUGAUCGGCCACACUGGGACUG